rnacentral:rRNA from 1 species
AGUGAACGCUGGCGGUAGGCCUAACACGUGCAAGUCGAACGGCAGCACAGUAAGAGCUUGCUCUUACGGGUGGCGAGUGGCGGACGGGUGAGGAAUACAUCGGAAUCUACUUUUUCGUGGGGGAUAACGUAGGGAAACUUACGCUAAUACCGCAUACGACCUACGGGUGAAAGCAGGGGAUCUUCGGACCUUGCGCGAUUGAAUGAGCCGAUGUCGGAUUAGCUAGUUGGCGGGGUAAAGGCCCACCAAGGCGACGAUCCGUAGCUGGUCUGAGGGGAUGAUCAGCCACACUGGAACUGAGACACGGUCCAGACUCCUACGGGAGGCAGCAGUGGGGAAUAUUGGACAAUGGGCGCAAGCCUGAUCCAGCCAUACCGCGUGGGUGAAGAAGGCCUUCGGGUUGUAAAGCCCUUUUGUUGGGAAAGAAAAGCAGCAGGUUAAUACCCCGCUGUUCUGACGGUACCCAAAGAAUAAGCACCGGCUAACUUCGUG